GGCAACGUAGCUCAGUGGUAGAGCGGGCGCUUCAUAAGCGCUAGGUCACAGGUUCGAACCCUGUCGUUGCCACCA
rnacentral:tRNA from 1 species